UACGUAGGGUGCGAGCGUUGUCCGGAUUUAUUGGGCGUAAAGAGCUCGUAGGCGGUCUGUCGCGUCGGAUGUGAAAACCCAGGGCUCAACCCUGGGCCUGCAUUCGAUACGGGCAGACUAGAGUAUGGCAGGGGAGACUGGAAUUCCUGGUGUAGCGGUGAAAUGCGCAGAUAUCAGGAGGAACACCGGUGGCGAAGGCGGGUCUCUGGGCCGAAACUGACGCUGAGGAGCGAAAGCGUGGGGAGCGAACAGG
rnacentral:rRNA from 1 species